rnacentral:misc_RNA from 1 species
UUUCCGUAGGUGAACCUGCGGAAGGAUCAUUACCGAGUGCGGGUUCUAACGAGCCCAACCUCCCACCCGUGUUUACUGUUACCGCGUUGCUUCGGCGGGCCCACUGGGGCCUGGCCCCGGUCGCCGGGGGGCUUCUGCCCCCGGGUCCGCGCCCGCCGAAGCGCCCUGGAACCCUGUCUGAAUAGUGAGUCUGAGUGGAUAUUGAAUCAUUAAAACUUUCAACAACGGAUCUCUUGGUUCCGGCAUCGAUGAAGAACGCAGC